rnacentral:rRNA from 1 species
UACUCGAGUGGCGAACGGGUGAGUAACACGUGGGUGAUCUGCCCUGCACUUCGGGAUAAGCUUGGGAAACUGGGUCUAAUACCGGAUAGGAGCCAUCUUUAGUGUGGUGGUUGGAAAGUUUUUUCGGUGUAGGAUGAGCUCGCGGCCUAUCAGCUUGUUGGUGGGGUAAUGGCCUACCAAGGCGGCGACGGGUAGCCGGCCUGAGAGGGUGGACGGCCACAUUGGGACUGAGAUACGGUCCAA